GUAUAGAUAUAGCAUAGUGUGUGUGUGUGGUCAUGGCAUCUGCCCGGUAAGCGGAAGGUCGUGGGUUCGAUUCCCAUCCCUUGACA